rnacentral:rRNA from 1 species
AGAGUUUGAUCCUGGCUCAGGAUAAACGCUGGCGGCGUGCCUAACACAUGCAAGUCGAACGCUCAUCGCAAGAUGAGAGUGGCGGACGGGUGAGGAACACGUGGGUAAUCUGCCCUGAGGUGAGGAAUACCAGCGAGAAAUCGCUGACAAUACCGCAUAUGCUCGCGCAAGCGAGCAAAGUCGCAAGACGCCACAGGAUG